rnacentral:rRNA from 1 species
UGGGGGCAACCCUGAUCCAGCCAUGCCGCGUGUGUGAAGAAGGCUUUCGGGUUGUAAAGCACUUUCAGUGAGGAGGAAGGCUCAAAGGUUAAUACCCUUUGGGAUUGACGUUACUCACAGAAGAAGCACCGGCUAACUCCGUGCCAGCAGCCGCGGUAAUACGGAGGGUGCAAGCGUUAAUCGGAAUUACUGGGCGUAAAGCGCGCGUAGGUGGUUUGAUAAGCGAGAUGUGAAAGCCCCGGGCUUAACCUGGGAACGGCAUUUCGAACUGUCAGGCUAGAGUGUGGUAGAGGGUAGUGGAAUUUCCUGUGUAGCGGUGAAAUGCGUAGAUAUAGGAAGGAACACCAGUGGCGAAGGCGGCUACCUGGACCAACACUGACACUGAGGUGCGAAAGCGUGGGGAGC